rnacentral:lncRNA from 1 species
AAAGAAUGUAUCAUGGUAUCGUCUCUCUCUGAUGCUGCUGUUAUAAAUUUUAACACCAGGGAAAUAGAAAAAAAUAAUAAUAAAAGAAACAGUACAAUUUACAGAAAUACAGAUCCAAAUAUUAGCACUAUUUCCCAAAAUUCCCCCAACACGUCUUCCCCUGCCUCCCCAUUCCUCCCUUGCUCCUGCUCUCUUCUUCAUAUCUGUCUUCCUCUGAACCCAAAUUUUGCCUCUUAAAACAGCUUUUCCUAUGAGGAUUAGAAGAAAAUCAUCAUUAAUCUCUGCUUCUCCAUCAUCAUCCUCUUCCUAUUCUUCACCAUCACCUACAUCAGCAUCUUCAAAUUGUUCAAGUUCAUCAAUCACCGCCAACUCCUUAGCUUCUUCCAUAGAUUCAUCAUCCUCCUCCACCCCACCAAAUUUCUGUCCAAUUUCAUCAGGUAUAAGUGCUUCUUCCAGUUCUAAACGCUGCCAAGGCCUUGAUCUGCUUGUCAAGGCAAUCCACCUUGUUACAGCGGGCUCUGUUGUGGGAGUCCCUUAUAUUCAAAGAAGAGUUGUCAGAAGAAGAAAAGCAGCUGUGAAAUUCAAUCAUGGACUUAUUUUGAGCAAAUUUCAGGUUCUUAAUCGGGAACCAGAGGAAGAAGAGAUGAUGAAUCAAGUGAAAUCUAGGACAAGAUCAAUGUCCAGAAGGCAAAGCAGAGCAGUGGGAUUUCCAUCUAAGCAUCAAGAUUCUGUUCUUCAGACGUGGAUGCUGAAAAAUCGGAGGCAGAGAUCUAUCAAGAUUGGUGAUGAAAUGUGUUCUUGAGCUAGUUAAUUUUUUGUGGGUACUAGAAAUUUUUGUUCUUUUCUGAUCUUAGAUGAUCAUUUCCUUUGGCCCUGAUAUUAGAUUUAAUAGUAGUUAGAUGUUGUUGUACUGCUCUUCUUCUACUGUUUGAUGCAUAAUUUAUAGCUAUUUUUUUGCUUAGAUUCUUGAUUUGAUUCGAACUUACCAAGAUCAAUGAGAAAAAUCAAAUUUUGGAUCUUUUUGGAUUAGUGAAUUUAUAUGGGAGCUAUUGGUUAUUUAUGAUUUUAGAGGGGAAAGGUUCAAGAUUUGUUUCUUGUAGGUGAAUGAAUUUUGCUACUUGCCAUUUUCUUCUUGUACAAAUUUCUUUAGUUGUUUUCGUUUCUUUUUAUUGAUAUGUUCUGUCGAUAGAAGGCAACUCAAUAUCUAUCUUCUUUGGCUUACUGCUUAAUUUGAACGAAAUUCUGCAUUCCUGUUACUCAUCCUUACUGAAGAAUAGUUUGGAUCUUGUUAUAUUUGUGCAUUUGCCAAUGAAUUGACAUUCUAACAUUGCUCUUGAAGAUGCUAAAUGCGCAUUAAAUGGUAGCUUGGGUUAACAAUUUUUGCUUCUUGAUCAGCUCAGAAUUAGCUAGAAGUUGUACUUUCCUGAGUUGAGGUGCCUUUAAACCGUGUCUCUUUGGAUGGAUGACAUCUCUAUCUGAGAUGAAGUUUUGAAGUCUACUUAGAAAGUAGGAAUACUGCAGCUGUAGAUGCCUGAACUCUGAUGAUUCCUAGUAGCUCAGCUGCAGUUUAAAAAGACGGUCAUUUUGGUUGGAGUCCUCUGUAGUUCCUCAAAUCAGCUUGCAGGUUUUUGAGAAAUUAGCUUGCUCUGUCUUACUUUUGGGUUCUGCGUCUCCGAAUCCAGCUUCGCCCAUGCUCUAUCCUAUGGUAACAUGAUUUUUAAGGGAUUCUAGCAUUUUUUUCUGUGACUUUGGUAUCACCUGCCUUGUCUUUGGCAGAUUAGCACAUACAAGGUCCUAUAAUAGUCCCUCAAACUGUUGCCAGAAGUUAAAAAUGAUCAGAUCUAAAUUCGUUUGCCUGCAACUUCUGGUCUCAAUCCUUUGUGAUUUAAUUUUUUUCACAAAGUGCAAUAUAAUUUCAUUCUUCUCUGUGAUUGGUCUAUUACACGUGUAACCACUUGAAGACAUCAAACAAAAGCAUGAAAGGGAGUAUGAGAACCAAGAAUACUUUGCUAUACUAAUACUGAAGACCAAUUCCUUUAAUUUAGCAAAAGUCAUUUAUAAAUGCAAUUGCAUUGCCGUGAAACAUAUAGAUACCGUCUAUAUAUAGAGACAAAUUCCUUUAAUGUAGCAAAAGUCAAUGCCGGUGGUUUGCUUUGUUCAAAAUAGGGAUAAAUCAAUCUGGCAAUGGAAUGUCACAUGCUACUUCCACAUACAAACCCAAACCAUCACUACCUGAAGGGCUAGCUGAGCUUGUAUAGUUGUAUGCAUGAGAUUGCAGGAGCCAGUUGAGCUUGUGCACAUGACAUUGCAGUAUUUCAUCAACCUAGAUGUGGCAAGCAAUGUUUUAAAACAUGGACGGGUGAGUCAACCGGCUGGCAGUUUGUUCUGGUUUUUAACGGUUAAACCGGCCGGGUCACUGUUUUUUUUUUUUUUAUUUUAUCUUCUUUAGAAUUCAAAAAUAGUUGGUAACGUAGAACUACGCAAAAUAGACCCGGAAAGUUCUAAUCUGGAAAAGGUUCUACAUUUUUCAAAAAAAAAAAAAAAAGACUUCUACAGAAAGUUUACAAUUAUUGAUUUAUCCACUAAAGAAUAAGAAAACUUUAGAGUAAUUUCAUGAAAUUUAUAAAGAAUCAGACUCAUUUCUUGAAUCAGACAACAAAAAUGAGUAUAAUUUCCCAACUAAAGAAUAUAUCACGCUACCAACUCGGUAAACGAAUGAAUAAAAGAACAAAGAUAGAGAACAACAAAGCAUCUGAACGCGCAUUUCGAUUAACAUCAUUAACAUAUCUAGUCUAUUGGGGAAUGAGGGAGUUUUCAAUUGGGUUCCAAUUGCUGAUGUGGCACGCUGUCAUUGGCCGAUUGAUAGUCGUCUGCUCAUGUGAAUGCCCGUCGUUAAUUGAAGGGAUUGUCUUGCUCGUGUGAAUUUUCAAAUUUCUUUCUUGGUGCAGUUGCUCGUGUGAAUUAAUAACCCUCCAACUUAACCACGUGUUCUCUGUAGGGAACUUUUUUUUUUUUUUAUUUAACCACAGAUUUGAUUUUUUUUAGGGAACGAUUGCACACCAUUAAUUCAUUGUAUUGGAAUCAUAAUACUACUUUGUUUGCUAUAGAAGGUUUUUUUUGGUCUCUUAUUUUAUUUAAUUAUCUUUUAUUACAGCAAGAAACGUGAACAAUUAUUCAAAUUUUACUGAGGAAAAAAAUGUUUAAGUGGGCAAAUUUUUGUUGGCUUUACUCGUCAUAUAUGUACUGAUUUGCUCUAUGAUUUUCGGCUCAGAUUUUUGUCAAGAGAGGGAAGAAAGAAAAAAUGGUGGUCAAUUCUUACUUUUAAGCAUUAUGGGCUUAUACAACUAUGCGAAACUUAAUACUUACUGAAUUUGUUGUUGACCAUUAUGCUGUUAUUGUAAGAAAACUUUUAAGAAUUAUUGCCAUUCAAGAGGUUUACUCUAUAUUUCUUGCUCAUUUAGACUGUCUGUAUUAUUUGGGUAAGAUAGCAUAUGAGUUUUUAUUUUAGGAUAUUUUGUUGCCAAGUUUGGAUGCGUCUGACAUACACAUUGUCAUGCCUUAGGUAGUGGACAUUUGUGGUGUGCAUUGAAUAACCAUUGCCAAGAUUGCUUAUUUUGUUAAUUAUAACGAUUUGUUUACAUAUUUAAAUUUGUGAAAUUUACUUUACGGGUUUUAUUCCUCAUCUCACCAUUAAAUGGUUAAAUGGAAACUUUUGAGAGUACAAAUAAAGCUUCAUGAAAACAAGAAACUAGAUUCGUGCAUAAUUUUGGUGAAAAUGGAACAAUUUGGUUUGAAGGCAAGAUUAAGGAAUCUUUGAUUUUUCUUUGUAUUAGCUUCUCACAAUUGCAACAAAUAUCUAAUGGCCUUGCUUUGAUUAUGUUCAAGUUCCCAUUUUAAACAACAAGAGAAAUGGGACAAAAAAAAAAGAA